rnacentral:rRNA from 1 species
UAGUUUUUUUAGAAAUAAAUUUAAUUUACAAAUUUUUAAUUUUUAAUUUAUUUUUUAAAUUUAAAAAUUUAUUAAUUUGAAUAUUUUAAGGGAUAAGCUUUAAAAUAAAGUAUUAAAAACUAUUGGAUAAUUGGUUUAAAAUGUAUGCAUAGAAUUAGCAAUCAUUUAUAAGUUUGUUAUAAAUUAUUUUAUAAUUUUUAUUAUUUAAUUUUGUUUUCAUUGAAUUUAUAAAAAUUUUUUUUUUAAUUUUAGAUAAAAAGUAAUAAUGAUCAAAUUAGUAUAUUUUAAUGUUGUUAAAAUAUUUUAUAAUGAGAAGUUUAUAUAAAGAACUCGGCAAAUUUUAUUUAUACUCGCCUGUUUAACAAAAACAUGUCUUUUUGAAUUGUAUUUAAAGUCUGACCUGCCCACUGAAUAAUUUUAAAUGGCCGCAGUAUUUUGACUGUGCAAAGGUAGCAUAAUCAUUAGUCUUUUAAUUGAAGGCUGGUAUGAACGGUUGGACGAAGUAUAAACUGUUUCAUAUUAAUUUAUAAUAGAAUUUUAUAUUUUAGUUAAAAAGCUAAAAUUUUUUUAAAAGACGAGAAGACCCUAUAAAUCUUUAUAGUUAAUUUUAACUAAAUUUUUUUGAUUUAUUUUAUUUUUUUAAUAUUAAUUAUUUUGUUGGGGUGAUAUUAAAAUUUAAUGAACUUUUAAUUUUUUUAAAAUCAUUAAUUUAUGAAUUAUUGAUCCAUUAAUAAUGAUUAUAAGAUUAAGUUACUUUAGGGAUAACAGCGUAAUUUUUUUUGAGAGUUCAUAUCGACAAAAAAGUUUGCGACCUCGAUGUUGGAUUAAGGUAUAAUUUUGGGUGUAGCCGUUCAAAAGUUAAGUCUGUUCGACUUUUA